UACAGAGGUCUCAAGCGUUGUUCGGAUUCAUUGGGCGUAAAGGGUGCGUAGGCGGCGCGGUAAGUCGGGUGUGAAAUCUUGGAGCUUAACUCCGAAACUGCAUUCGAUACUGCCGUGCUUGAGGACUGGAGAGGAGACUGGAAUUUACGGUGUAGCAGUGAAAUGCGUAGAUAUCGUGAGGAACACCAGAGGCGAAGGCGGCUACCUGGACAAUUGCUGACGCUCAGGCACGAAAGCGUGGGGAGCAAAAGGG
rnacentral:rRNA from 1 species